rnacentral:rRNA from 1 species
UACGAAGGGGGCUAGCGUUGUUCGGAAUUACUGGGCGUAAAGCGUAUGCAGGCGGAUCGUUAAGUCGGGGGUGAAAUCCCGAGGCUCAACCUCGGAACUGCCUUCGAUACUGGCGAUCUUCGAGUCCGGGAGAGGUGAGUGGAAUUGCGAGUGUAGAGGUGAAAUUCGUAGAUAUUCGCAAGAACACCAGUGGCGAAGGCGGCUCACUGGCCCGGUAUUGACGCUGAGGUGCGAAAGCGUGGGGAGCAAACAGG